GGCAGCGAGCGGGAGAGCGAGGGCGGCGGCCGCCCGGCGCGAAAAUUCUGAGCUGUAUAGCUCUAGCAAGUAAAACGUUAGUUCAGAAGAAAAGAGUAGACUCGCUUAAUACAUUUGGCUCUUCACCAUGCGAUUAGGAAAACCUAAGGGAGGUAUUUCUCGGAACUCGAGCAAAGGAAAAGCCUCUGAGAACCAGCGCAAAACCAUCCGGCAGCGGCAGAGAUGGGGAAUGACUGUUCAAUUUAUCUCAAGCUUGAGUAGACUGAGAAGAAGCUUGGAUGAGAAGCCCUAUAAAUGUAAUGAAUGUGAAAAGAGUUUCAGUCAGAGCUCAACUCUUUUUCAACACCAGAAGAUCCAUACUGGAAAGAAGUCUCAUAAAUGUGCUGAUUGUGGGAAAAGUUUCUUUCAGAGUUCUAAUCUCAUUCAGCAUCGACGGAUCCAUACUGGGGAGAAGCCCUAUAUAUGUGAUGAGUGUGGAGAAAGGUUUAAACAGAGCUCAAAUCUCAUUCAGCACCAGAGAAUUCAUACUGGAGAAAAACCCUAUCAGUGUGACGAAUGUGGCCGAUGUUUCAGCCAGAGUUCCCACCUUAUUCAGCAUCAGAGAACCCACACAGGGGAGAAGCCCUACCAGUGCAGUGAGUGUGGCAAAUGCUUCAGCCAGAGCUCUCAUCUUAGGCAGCACAUGAAGGUGCACAAAGAGAAGUCUCGAAAAACCCGGGGCAAAAAUAUUAGGGCAAAAACUCACUUAGUGUCAUCUUGGAAAGCUGGUACACGAAGGAAGUCAGUGGCUCGUCUCCGCUAAUUAAGGGACACUGCUUCAGCUGUUUUAGCAUGGAGAUAUUGGAAGGCUAAUGACAUCGGUCUGAAAUAAAUUACAUGAGGCCAGUAUCCUCAUUUCUUUUUUAUGUAACAUGGAGUACAGGGAACUGAAAAUACGUUUUGAAAGAACAUAAGAUCCUUGACCUCAUUUGAAAUAGCUUCCUGCAUCAUUCUGACAAAAACAAUCAUAUUUUGAUGAUGCGUGUAAAAGUGCAGGAAUUCCAAUGACUACUCAGUUUUAGGACUUUCUAUGGAGGCAGUAAUUAAAAGGAAUUAAUUCCAUUAGUUUUGGAGUUCUGCAACAGAUGAAAUUUUAUGUUUGUAAAGUUUUUGUAGUAUAUUAACCAUUGGUUUGUAAGUGUGACUCAAGGUUCAGUGUAUUAAAAUGUAUCCGUGUUCACAGAUUUUUAAUUAAGGCCCAUCACUCUGUGUUAGCUUUCUUUUGUUUAUUCCCUUCUGCUUAUGGACAGUUAUUAAUGAAAGGAGUAGAAUUUCCCUGUUUUUCACCAAAUUCUUAGAAAGAGGUAGUCUAGAAGCCAAAGUAAGAACUCAAUUAGACAGAAGUCUCCUAUUCCUGCCAAUAGUGUUAUUUGUGAUGGUGUUACACUGUGUCACUUGUUUUCCACAAGUUGCAAUGGGUUUAUGUUGGUCCAUCCCCAUGCUUUUGACUUAUUUUGGCAUUCUCUUGUGCUCUGACAAAUCUGAGGUAGCCUUUGAGAUCUACAUGAAUAAAUAAUUAAACCAUAUUUUACCGAAACAGUCUCCACUUGCUAAUUAGAAGUUAACAAUUUACAGCCUCCCUGACUUCCCCUUUGAGAUCCUUAGGAUAACCCUGGUUAUCUUAAAUAAGUGUUUGUCAACAGCAAAACUCAUGUACUUUAAAUGUCAGUGUGUUAUAGCUCAAUGUGUAGAUUUUGAAAUCUAAGUUAACUUUUUCUGAGUUAUAUGAAUUAUUUACGAAGUCUAGUAAACAUGUUUCUUAACUUCCAUCAGAACAGUGCCCAGUGUCGGAUGUUCUGAUCAACCUUCAGCUCAGGUUUUAAUUGCUAUUGAAUGCUAGCAUUCUUUUGAUUUUUUUGUGUCUUUUAUGAUCAUACCAGUUCCUGCUGUAUUAAUGACAGCUACUAUAAAAAUUUUUUAAAAAUGGAAUAUUUUGCUUAC